rnacentral:rRNA from 1 species
GUGGGGAAUAUUGGACAAUGGGCGAAAGCCUGAUCCAGCCAUGCCGCGUGUGUGAAGAAGGUCUUCGGAUUGUAAAGCACUUUAAGUUGGGAGGAAGGGUAGUAACCUAAUACGUUGCUACUUUGACGUUACCGACAGAAUAAGCACCGGCUAACUUCGUGCCAGCAGCCGCGGUAAUACGAAGGGUGCAAGCGUUAAUCGGAAUUACUGGGCGUAAAGCGCGCGUAGGUGGUUCAGUAAGUUGGAAGUGAAAUCCCCGGGCUCAACCUGGGAACUGCUUUCAAAACUGCUGAGCUAGAGUACGGUAGAGGGUGGUGGAAUUUCCUGUGUAGCGGUGAAAUGCGUAGAUAUAGGAAGGGACACCAGUGGCGAAGGCGACCACCUGGACUGAUACUGACACUGAGGUGCGAAAGCGUGGGGAGCAAACAGGAUUAGAAACCCCUGUAGUCC